GAUGAACGCUGGCGGCGUGCCUAAUACAUGCAAGUCGAGCGAACAGACGAGGAGCUUGCUCCUCUGACGUUAGCGGCGGACGGGUGAGUAACACGUGGAUAACCUACCUAUAAGACUGGGAUAACUUCGGGAAACCGGAGCUAAUACCGGAUAAUAUAUUGAACCGCAUGGUUCAAUAGUGAAAGACGGUUUUGCUGUCACUUAUAGAUGGAUCCGCGCCGCAUUAGCUAGCUGGUAAGGUAACGGCUUACCAAGGCAACGAUGCGUAGCCGACCUGAGAGGGUGAUCGGCCACACUGGAACUGAGACACGGUCCAGACUCCUACGGGAGGCAGCAGUAGGGAAUCUUCCGCAAUGGGCGAAAGCUUGACGGAGCAACGCCGCGUGAGUGAUGAAGGUCUUCGGAUCGUAAAACUCUGUUAUUAGGGAAGAACAAAUGUGUAAGUAACUAUGCAUGUCUUGACGGUACCUAAUCAGAAAGCCACGGCUAACUACGUG
rnacentral:rRNA from 1 species